CACAACCCGUGAUGCAGGAAGGCAGUUUUUCCCCGAGACUAAAAGAGGAUUUAAAAUAAAUAAAUAGACGCGUCCGGAGAUCCUGCUCCGUCGCCCCAGUGUUCAGACUACCUGUUCAGGACAAUGCUGUUGUACAGUAGUCUGCACAUUGGUUAGACUGGGCAAGGGAAAGCAGCGGCAUGGACUAUUGGGGACGCAAGUUGCUAUUGCCAAGGAGAAGACAGUUAUUGCUCCUUUCAGAUCUCAUAUACAGUAUUUUUCUUCACAGGUUUUGCACACUAGGGAAUAAGAAACGCUAAGGGACACUGUGAAAAAGGAGGACUUCAGAAUAAAGCGGGGAAGACAUUCUGCCCCCCAAACCGGAAUGGUACAAAGUGUUGCACACCAGCGGUGAUGGCUCCAAGGGACUGGCUGGACGGAGUUGUCAUGUGUCUGCCUGUCUACACUUGCUGUGCAGAACAUCCUCUCACCUGUACAGCAGGCACAGACAGGCAGUCGCAUGACAACCCAGCCUGAGGGACAGCCGCCAGUGGGAAACCGCUCUGACACACCAGAGCAUCUUCACCAACAGCUCCAGCCAAGAGUCACUCUGGAUCUCAGACGGCCGGUCAGUAACCAAGCCGCGUACUGCAACUCACCUAGAGUCAAACCAACACUGCCUAUAAAAUACAAUAAAACCCACUGCUGAAAUUUUCA